UCCGGAGCCCUUUGUGAGGGCUGCGGGAGCGCCGGACGGCGGCACCAUGAGCGGUGCGGGCGGAGCGGCGGUGGCGUCCGGGGACUCGGCGCCGCCCGCGCAGGAGGAGGGCAUGACAUGGUGGUACCGCUGGCUGUGUCGCCUGUCGGGGGUGUUAGGGGCCGUCUCUUGCGCCAUCUCCGGCCUCUUCAACUGCAUCACCAUCCACCCUCUGAACAUUGCAGCCGGCGUGUGGAUGAUGUGAGUAGCCGUGUGACCGUCCUGCUGGGGGGUGUUGGGGCGUGUGGAUUUCUGGGCACCUCCCAGGUGGAACACGACACGAACGCGUUCAUCCUCCUGCUGUGUGAGGCGCCCUUCUGCUGCCAGUUCAUCGAGUUUGCGAACACGGUGGCGGCGAAGGUGGACCAGCUGCGCUCCUGGCAGAAGGCCGUCUUCUACUGCGGGAUGGCCGUCGUCCCCAUCGUCAUCAGCCUGACCCUGACCACGCUGCUGGGCAACGCCAUCGCCUUCGCCACCGGAGUGCUGUACGGACUGUCUGCUCUGGGCAAGAAGGGCGACGCGGUCUCCUACGCCAGGAUCCGGCAGCAGGGGCAGCAGGCGGACGAGGAGAAGCUCACGGACACCCUGGAGGGGGAGCUGUGAUGUGGCCGGGCGCCCUCCCGCCCCCCGUCGGCCCUCUGGUCUGUGUGAGCGCGUCCCCGAGGCGCACUGACCCUGAGGGGCAGCCUGGGAGAGGCGCCUGCGUCCAGCUCCCUCGGUCCCUGUCACCUGUCCCCGCACCUGGAGUCCUCUGUCGGCCCCUCCCCCAGAUCGGCAUCGCCCCAAGCCAGGCUCCGAGGGGCCGGGGAGGAGAAGGGCUGGCUGUGUGUUGAGGAAGCUUGCGCUUCUGCCCUGUGAGGAAGUUGGGUGGACCCUCCAACCCCUCGGUCCCAGGCCAGAGUGGGCAGGUCACUUGCCGAGGUUCCGAAUGAGCGUAGCCGAGCAGCCCUGGAGCUGCGACCCUGUCUCCCAGUCAGGGGUG